UUGUUUCGUGGUUGCAGGCUCCACCUGUUAUUGUUUUCUCAUCGGCAUGUGCAGGAUUGGCAGGGGGUGCUGUUCCAGCACUUGCACAACUUGCAUCAUCUUCAUACCAUGCCGCCAUCUCAUCUUCCACAUUACAGCCUCCAUCCUCGCAGGACAAGAAGAUUAACAAGUCCCGACCAUCCUCCACUCUAAAACAUUGACAGUGAGUGAUAGAUAAGAAGCAAAGGACUUUUUGGCGCAUCAGUCUCCUGACAAUCUUGCCCACAAUCAAUGCAGCUAUAGGGUUUCCAUUGCAUGAUGCAUCAGAUGUCUUCUGCUCCAUUUUGGUGGUGGACUGAGCUCACAUGACACUUUAUAUUGGUAUCUAAUUUCGUUUUAGGUAUUAUUCUUUUGGUGUUUCCCAAUGAUUAAAAGAAUGCAUAGUGAUGCUUUUAUAGGACCUGCAAGGUAUGUGUAUAUGUAAAUUGCAACCACAGGUUUUAAGCUAUAGUUGUGAUUUAAUAGUCAUGUGAUUUUUUGGGUGGUGUUUA